UACUAGAGUAGCACUCGCAUAUCAAUAAGCGGAGGAAAAGAAACUAACAAGGAUUCCCCUAGUAACGGCGAGUGAAGCGGGAAGAGCUCAAAUUUGAAAUCUUAAAGGGUUUCCCCUUACGAAUUGUAGUUUAAAGAAGUGUUUUCUGUUGAGGUUUUGGUAAAAGUUCUUUGGAAUAGGACAUCAUAGAGGGUGAGAAUCCCGUAUUUGACCUUUACUUUCAACUUUGUGAUACACUUUCAAAGAGUCGGAUUGUUUGGGAAUGCAGUCCAAAAUGGGUGGUAAAUUUCAUCUAAAGCUAAAUAUUGGCGAGAGACCGAUAGCGAACAAGUACCGUGAGGGAAAGAUGAAAAGAACUUUGAAAAGAGAGUUAAACAGUACGUGAAAUUGUCAAAAGGGAAGCGUUUGACACCAGUGUUGUUUUUCUGAAAAUCAAUUAAAGAACUGUUUAUGCUAAGCUGUUUAGACUUUAUCAGCUAUCUGUUUAGUUUUGAGCUUUUCUUUAAUGCACUUUUCAGUUAACAAGUCAACAUCAAUUUCUUUUGCUGUAAAAAAGCUUGAGGAAGGUGGCUUGAGAUUCGUCUUAAGUGUUUAUAGCCUCUUGCCUAUGCAGUCGGAGAGAUUGAGGUCUGCAGCGUAGAUCCUUCGGGGCUAAAUGCAUUUGUGCUAAGUUAUAGCAUUUUAUAGACAACUUGUUGACUAUGAUUUGUCUUGUAGCUUACUCGCUUAUGUUAUUUUACCUACGCUUAGGAUGUUGAACUCUAUCACACACAG
rnacentral:rRNA from 1 species